AAAUCAAUCCAUAAUUAUUGAUUUAUAAAUGCACUGAUUUUGAUGAAAGAUUAUGAAUUUAUGAUUACUCGUUCAGCUAAGCUAUGGCUAUCAGUAGCUUCACCCCGCCGAGCUCGAACAUGAACGUACGGAAGCUUCUCGCGUUCGGUGACUUUUGCAGCGGUUUUGCUCUUCUUCCCCGAUGAUUUCACCUAAUUUUGAUAAAUUUUGUUUUUAAUAGGUCAGUUACUUGAUAUUAGAAUCGUAGAAAUUGAGGUAAAAUGGCGAAUCAAGUCACAAACCGUCUUUUCUCGAUCCUUUCGUUUUGUUGACAUUGAAUCUAUUGGAUCUGAGGAAAUCGGUGAUGAAUUGUGCAGGGAACCUGAUUCUAGAGGCUCUUGUUUCACCGGAUUACUGAUAAUACGGUUCGGAUUUUGUAGAAUUAGAAUUGAUCCCAUCGUCUCCGAAGAAUUCUCCUUCGCCGUCACGGAGGGGAAAACUUUUGGUGUUUCUUCCUCCGGCGAAU
rnacentral:lncRNA from 1 species